UACGUAGGGGGGCAAGCGUUGUCCGGAAUUAUUGGGCGUAAAGAGCGCGUAGGCGGUCCGAUAAGUCGGCUGUGAAAGUCAGGGGCUCAACCCUUGGAAGCCGGCCGAUACUGUCGGACAGAGUCCGGAAGAGGCGAGUGGAAUUCCCGGUGUAGCGGUGAAAUGCGCAGAUAUCGGGAGGAACACCAAUGGCGAAGGCAGCUCGCUGGGACGGUACUGACGCUGAGGCGCGAAGCGUGGGGAGCAAACAGG
rnacentral:rRNA from 1 species